GGUGGACGUCACAUGUGCAGCUCAGCUGUUGUGCUGAGAAUUGCUGACACGAGCAGUUCCAACCAGGAAAGCAGAGCUGCUUCCCACGGACAGAUUUUGGGGGUGGGUAGCAGGGACCCUCCUGACGGCUUGCUUCUGGGAUGUAGGAUGCAUUACGGAAAUCAUGAGCCUGUGUCCAGGCGUGGUCUCCUUUUCAUAGACCUGGGUACNCACCCCCCCCCCCCCCCCCCGCCCCCGCCGCAAGGCUGCCUUUUGGCUGCUGGCUGUGCCAUGGAAUGGAGCAUAUGUAUUUCUGCAUAUUUCCACUUUUGUGGUUUCAGUUCCAGGCUUUCAAAUUUUUUUUUCUUUUUUUCAGGAGAGAUCAGAGACAUACAGACUGUACUUCCUUCUGCGACACAGAAUUCGCACCUACUUGCUGAAUGGAAAACUUCCGUACAGGAAGGAACACCUCCCAAAGAUACACAAGAAUGGAUUUUAGCAGGAUAGAUGUUCCUCAAAAAACCAGAAAUAGACCUGCUAUAGGAUCCAGCCAUCCCACUCCCGGGCAUCUAUCCAGAGAAAACCAUGACUCGCAAAGACUCAUGUACUCUGAUGUUCAUUGCAGCACUAUUUAUAAUAGUCAAGACAUGGAAACAACCUAAAUGUCCAUCAACAGAGGAGUGGAUCCAGAAGAUGUGCUCCACAUAGACAAUGGAAUACUACGCAGCCAUUAAAAAGAAUAAAGUAACAUGAUUUGGAGCAACAUGGAUGAACCUCAAGGUGAUCAUACUAAAUGAAGUCAGUCACAGAGAAAAAGACAAAUUUCAUACGGUAUCACUUAUUUGUGGAAUUUAAAAUGUGACGCAAAAGAACCCCUAUGAAGGACAGUAUGGAAGUUCCUUAAAAAGUUAAAUACAGAACUACCACAUGGUCCAGCAACCCCACUCCUGGGCAUCUAUCUGGAGAAAACCCUAAUUCAAACAAAUACUUGCCCCCCAGUGUUCGUAGCAUCACUAUUCACAAUAGCCAAGACAUGGAAACAAGCUAAAUGUUCAUCGACAGAGGAAUGGCUUAGGAAGAUGUGGGACAUAUACACCAUGGAAUACUACUCGGCCAUAAAAAAGAACAAAAUUCUGCCAUUUCAGCCACAUGGAUGGACUUAGAGACGAUCAUACUAAGGGAAGUAAGCCGGACAGAGAAAGACAAAUACCAUAUGAUGCUACUUAUAUGUGGAAUCUAAAAAAAUGCAAGACUAGUGAAUGUAAUAAAAAAAGACACAGACUCACAGAUACAGAGAACAAAGUAGUGGGGAGAGGGACAGCGAGAAGGGGAGUGAGAGGUACAAACUACUAUGUAUAAAAGUAAUAAGCUACGAGGAUGGACUGGACAGCCCAGGGAACAAAGCCAAUAUUUUACAAUAACUAUAAAUGGCAUAAAACCUUUAAAAACUGUGAACCACUCUAUGGCACACCUGUAACAUGUAAUAUCAUAUAUCGUAAAUCAGUCGUACCUCAAAAAAAAAAAAAAAAAAACAACAGUUUCAGGGCAGCAGGAGUAAGAAAGAUCAGUGAAUAAUACAAAGCAUUCUUGGAGUUCCCAGUGUGGCUCAGUGGUAAUGAACCUGACUCCUAUCCAAGAGGACUUGGGUUCAAUCCCUGGCCCUGAUCAGUGGGUUAAGUAUCUGGCGUCGCCAUGAGCUGUGGUGUAGGUUGUAGGUAUGUCUUGGAUCCCGCAUGGCUGUGGUCGUGGUGUAGACCGGCAGCUGCAGCUCCGCAGCGACCCCUCGCCUGGGAACCUCCAUGUGCUGUGGGUGUGGCCCCCCCAAAAAGCAAACAAAAAUUCUUUGGGUCUUCCUUCUCAAUCCCUCCGUUCAAAGUGGCCAGAGGUACUAAUCAGAAGAGUAAGUUCCUAUUUGGGCCAUGCCUUCUUCCUCCCUCUCCAGGAAAAAUGUUUGGAAAUAAACUUGACAUGCAAAACAAAUUAAGUAGAUGACCCUAGGCGUGGUACCUUUUGAGUCUCAAGAAUUCUCUCAAACAAGUGACCGCUG
rnacentral:lncRNA from 1 species